rnacentral:lncRNA from 7 species
AUAUCAACAUCAUGUCUUCAGAGGAUGAAUAACUUCCCAAGAAGCUUACACUACAUUAAGACCCAUCUUCACAAUGAACAUUCCUAGGAGAAGAGGAUUUCAAGCAUACUCAUUAUCCAAGGGAUACAUGAACAAGAAGUCUGCAAGAAUUCUCUUCAAGCAUAUACUCCAAAUAUAACCUGCAAAGGUGGAACAGAGCUUUUCCCUUCCAAGAGCUUGUCUGAAGUGCAGGUGGCUGGGCCUUACGAGGGAGCCUUUGAGAAGUUAUUUUGGUGAAAAGCUGGCUGCCACCCACUGUGCUUCUCUGCCAGCCGCCGUGCUCCUUCACUCUCACCACACCUCUCUCAUCCUCAAGAUAUUUGAAGAGUUUGUAUUCAAGGUGUGGAACAUCCGUGUGAUCCAGCCUGUAAAAUACCAUCGUGGAAGUGAAAAUACUCCAGGUCACCGAAGAGGUGAACCCUUAUCGCUUCCCCGGAGCGCAGCAGUCACUUUGCAUCUCCUUGCUCCAGCUGGAGAGAGUCAGGAAAGUCAUGGAGCAGUUAACUGGCCAUUUUUUAUGAGGAAAUGGAAACAAGGAUUCAAGGCCAUCGUGAAGACUAUGUAAGUAUCAGGAACAUGGCUGCAGGAAAUCAGAAUGGCAAUGUGCAGCGCCAGCAUCAACAAGAAGCAGUGGAUUAGACAGGCAGAAAAUGUACAGGCUGUGGUGAAAGCUGCCCAUGAGUUGGUUGGUUACCUGUCAGAGCCAAGCAUCCAAGGGCCUGCUACCCAGAGGAGAAGGAACAAGCACUUCCAGAGGCUGAUUCACGCAUUCCCAGGAGCAGUUUCCCUAUUUCAAAGUUGGUUGGAUCAGCCCAACAACUUCAAACCGCACCUCAGCCAUGGAGGACCUGGGAGCUCAAGUCGCUUCUAAGGAACUGUGUAUGAUGGGCAACUGGGGACUAUGGUGAAAAGCCCUAGGUGAGGCUGCAGAGUGGUGAUAACUUCAGACAGACUUUAUUACCUUGGUUGUUGCAAACCCUCUUGACUGGUUCCUGCAACCUCUGUGCUUCCUGUAUUUGCCAUAGACAUGUCAGCCUGUCUUCGUCUGUAUAUGAUCAGAUACUUCUCUGAAGCGACCCUUUUUAUUUGGGUGCCAGGAAUAAAGGAAACAUUUUCUUCAG